rnacentral:rRNA from 1 species
CACUGGGACUGAGACACGGCCCAGACUCCUACGGGAGGCAGCAGUGGGGAAUUUUCCGCAAUGGGCGAAAGCCUGACGGAGCAAGACCGCGUGGGGGGGAAGAAGGCUCUUGGGUUGUAAACCCCCUUUUCUCUGGGAAGAAAGUUGUGAAAGCAACCUGAUGGUACCAGAGGAAUCAGCAUCGGCUAACUCCGUGCCAGCAGCCACGGUAAGACGGAGGAUGCAAGCGUUAUCCGGAAUGAUUGGGCGUAAAGCGUCCGCAGGCGGUUUGAUAAGUCUGAAGUUAAAGGCUGUGGCUCAACCAUAGUUCGCUUUGGAAACUGUCAAACUUGAGUGCAGAAGGGGAGAGUGGAAUUCCAUGUGUAGCGGUGAAAUGCGUAGAUAUAUGGAGGAACACCGGUGGCGAAAGCGGCUCUCUGGUCUGUAACUGACGCUGAGGCUCGAAAGCGUGGGGAGCGAACAGGAUUAGAUACCCGUGGUAGUCCACGCCGUAAACGAUGAGUGCUAGGUGUUGGACUCCUUCGGGAUUCAGUGCCGNACG